ACGAGCGAGCGAGCGAGCGAAGCCUCCAGGUCCCUUCGCCGUUGCCCUCGCACAUCAAGUCGCCGCCCUCGCCCUCGCCCUCGCAGCCGCCGCCGAUCCCCUCCCCCAUCUUCCUCCCUCAAAAGCUAACCCGUCUCGCGGUGCGCCACCGCCCGUCGCUGCCGCCCCCGCCACCUCCCGUCGCGGGUAGGCGGGAGGAGCCCUGCCCGGCCAUGGAGACACUGCCUGCGGCCUCCUCCUCCCCCUCACCUUCUCUCCCUUUCCCAAUGGAGGGAAGGGAAUGGAAGGGAUCCGGCGGCAAGGGGGGGCAGCGCCCAGAUCCGCGGCCGCACCGGCGGGCCGCCGUCCCUCGAGAUCGUGCAUGGAGGUCCGACCCGGCUGCAGCCAUGGACUGAGACGCCCGAAACCCUAGCUACCCGUGGAGGUCCGACGCCUACCUCCAAGGAAAGGACGCGCGCCAGCUGCAGGCCAUCUCCGGCGACCUCCGACCAUGGUUGCUCGGAUCUGGACCAGCUGCUGCUCCUACUGCUUCAGGUGGACGAGGACGAGCCCUCCCUCAUGGAUGCUGCGGCUGCCUACUCCCUCCUCCUACCCCCUGGCCUGGUGUGAACGGUCGUUGAAGCGAAAUUCAUGUUCAUAGAUCAGGGAAUGAAUUUGAUGUGUCACGCCUGACAAAAGCCCAAGAUUACAGAUUCUUUGUGUCGACGUGGAAUGUUGGUGGCCAAUGCCCAUCAAGGGGGUUAAUUUAGAUGACUGACUCCAUUCUUCACCCGCUGCUGAUAUCUAUGUGCUCGGAUAUCACUUAUUACGAGGACACUAAACAAGAACGCUGGGUCUAGCAUUCAUGCUGGCUAUCACACGCCAUUCCCUGUCCCUGAUCCGGUUGUGGAACUAGAUGCUGAUUUUAAGGUAUCAUUGAGAAGACAUGAUAGCUCAUCACUUUCCACCACUAUCAUUCCGAAACCUUAGUCGGAGUUUAAGGGUUUCAGGAAAUGAUAUGUUCUCACAACCAAUAUUGGCCCGUAGGUUUAGUGUGUGCGACCCUGUUAACAUAGGAGUCAGGCCGAGCGAUUUUGAUAGAAAUUUCAAGUGUAUCGGAUCACCAGUCGAUGAGUAUAUUGAGGAGGAUACAAGUAAUGGAGCAUAUUUUUCACCAUUCCCAUAUGGCUAUGGUACUUAAACACCAAUGGAAGGAGAUGAAGAGCAGCCAAAUACUUCUAGGUGUCCAGGUAUUGUUUGGUUGCCAGCAAACAGAUGGUUGGCAGAUUUCUCACAGUUUGGGUAACAGCAGGUAUGGCAUGGGAUUCAUUGUUCUGGUUAGAUGAGAUAUAUCAUCUGGUAAAUCAUUGGAUACAUUUCAACGUAUUGGAUUAUUUUGUUCUGAACUCUUUAGUCAGUAGCAGUGGUUUCUAUAGCUAGCCCAAUGAUGAUCCCCACUUUAACUGACAUGAUGUCAAAGCUCAAGGCUAUCAGUGACCAUCCAUAUAGCUCAUCAAGUCAUCUUCAGAUCACUAGCCCUAAUGGUGUCAAGCUCAAGGAUAUCUAGGAGCACUCGAACCUCCUGCAUGACGAAGUCACUCGAUGAGGAUGUGCUUACCCAGGAGAAUGAACCUAUUGAUGCUCCCCUUGCAGCCGGAAGUAUCUUGAAAGCUGCGAAAACCUCAUACAUGAGCAUAUCCGCGAUGCAAGGAGCUUUUGUGGUGACUCGGAGGAGGUAGCAGGGGGAGGAAAAGAAGGGAUAGGUUCCAUUACGAUCUUCUGUUGACACAAUGGUCGUCGGUGGCGAGAACAUGAGGACCAUGGUUACAAUUAACAGACAUGUAUUGACCUAUUGCGGCUAUAGAGUAUGCCUAAGCCAAUGGCCAGACAUCGGCUGUUCGGAUCCACCCUUAAGCCGAGGCACAAGUCCAUUGCGGUUGAUUAUUGUUUGGGGAUUCAGUUUCAUGAAUAGGAUGAAUGUCACGGCAGCAGCUGCAAACUCCAAGAACGUUAUUGUCGUGGGGGGCACCAGUUUCAAUUGUGUCUUCUUGCAAGCUCCUUGUCAAUGAGAGGCACAAGGUCAGUCUGUACUCUGUAGAUACAUUUGUGAUGCAGUGAUUCUUCUCUUAUGCUAACUAAUACAUUGAUUAUGUCCUAUGAUUCUCUAGGAGCACUAAGAAAUUAUAUGUUUUCUUAAGGGUCACAUCACACGAGGAAACUCUCACCCACAGCCAUGAAAUUUCCAAUUGAAUCAAAUGCAAAUUAUACAUAGUGCUCUUCCAAGCCACAGUUCAACCCCCACUUCUUGCCGCUCGCCUUCAGCCCCAGCAAGACGAUUAAAUAUUUUACCUCAAUCCAUAUAUUAGAUCUCGUGCUCAAGAAGACGAUGGUGAAGAGCAUGAUAAUGAUCCAAAUGUAUGUUAACAAUUGGUCCAGUUUAGAAAUCUAAACAGGAAAGCUGAGGGGCCAUUUAGUUUAUACCCAGGCCCACCUCGCCAGAGAUGGUGCGUGCAGAUAUUUUGGCGAACGAUUCCCCUGCCCCUGUUUCGCCUGUCCGUGGACGCAGAAUGAAAGCAACGACCAGUUUUUUUUGGCAUGACUCCUAUAAUUGGGUUUCAAUCCAAACAGUACCCAGUCAAUGCCGAACUUCUUACUCAAUAUGACUCCUCAGGUUUCAUUUGUUGGGGAGGCAGACAGAAACAACGAUAACUAAUAUUUUUUCUUUUCACUCACAAUAAUAUUGUCAUCAGAUACAAUUGCUAUCAGGUUAGUGUUUUGUGAGCUUUCAUCAUGUCCCUUUAUGGAACUUUUAAAUGUUGAUUAUCAUUUAUCACUGCUGCUACUUUAUGCAGAGUAUUGAUGUUUGUACUGAAGGAAGUCCAAAAGUCUUAUCGAUGCAGGCAAGACACUUGAUAUGACAAAUUUCAAGUGGAAACGAACAAAUAUUAUGCUUGUUCAUCGCUUGAUGUCUACCCUGACUAUUCUUUCAUUUGAAACUCGCUAAUAACAAGUUCUUACUCUGCUGUUAAAACUGAUGUUGCUAAUUCGGUUCAUAAAAUUAUUGUCGUUAUAAUUUGGCGAUGUAAUACUUUGCCAUAAGCCAAUAUCAAAUUAUGAAGCAUUGCUAUAACUUCCAACGUGGUGCUAGAGCAUUAUAUAUGAAUGUACUUAGUUAAAGGCCAUCCAAAGAUACACAUUUGCAAGGAAACUGCACAAUGUCAAUACGAAUAUGAAAGAUAAUUGGAUAAAUAACUUUGAAAUCUGAUCUUUUUCUGAUGAUAACACAACUUACGCUGAUUUCCAUAAUGAACAGAGAAUAGAAAAAGUGUUGUUGCGGCCAUGACUUGAAUAACAAACCAAAUUCACAAGGUCGGUACUGGACUAUUGGUAAUAUAUAUUCUUUUGGCAGGGAUUUAGAAAUACUUCACAUCUCUUUUUAGUGGAUUUUGUGAUAGGAGUGAGAGUUGAGAGUGAGCGGGUUGGAGGCUGUGGUUGAUUUGUUCAGUUACGAAUGUGAGCGGAAUAUUUUUCCCUACUUAAGAAAAAGUGGCAAAUUGGAUAAGGCAGUCAUAUUUUUUUGAUCAGGUCAUACAAUAUAUUUUUUAGGAUAGAAGGGUAAAUGCAUUAGUUUGUUGUUUUAAUAGUUAAUAACAGACGCGGUGGCGUAUUAGUUGCAUCCCCAACAACAGCCAUCAUAUUUUUGUUUUGUGGUAAUGCAUGACAUUCAACUGUAUGUUACAACAUGGCAAUGCCUCAUGAGACAUCGAAUUUGCCUUCUUUGCUUGGGGUCGUCAUGGGCGGCGCACGCCUCCUCCGCCUUGAUGGUCGUGGUGGAUCGGCACGAACACGGGAGGAGGGGAUCAUGGCGGAGAGCAAGCGGUUGGUGGGGGCACUCCUCCUUGGUGGUCCGUGGGGAAGUAUGGUAUGAAGGGAAGAGGGCGCCAGGACGAAAGUGAGGUGAGUCUCAUCCGGUUAUAAAGUAGAGGGCUCCAGCGAGAAAUAUUAGGCUAUGGUGGGAAACUGAGCUGGAAGGAGAGAGGGUCCGACAUGAGGGAAGGGUGCCUCAUGGUGUGGGGUUUUGUGUUGUGUUGGGACCGCGUGUUGGAAAUAACAUGGCGGAUAGUUCGGACAACGACAUUGCUCCCCAUAUAUGAGAUGGAUUUGGGGCAGCCUGUACUAAACCCGGGCAAACGUCGGGCCGGGCCGGGUUUCGGGCCGGGCUUGUAAAAGCCCGACCUUCAUUUCUCAAGCCCAAGCCCAGCCCGAAGCCUAAAAUACUCCCUGUUUUCAAGCCCGAGCCCGGCCCAAAAUCAAGCCCGAAGCCCGAAAGCCCGGCCCGAAUGCUGUUUUUUAGUACGCGCACGUGCAAGCCCGGCCCGAAGCCCGAAAGCCCGGCCUGAAAUACAGAAAAAUUGAAGCUCGAGCCUGGCCCGAAUUAUCUUUCGGGCUGCAAAACAAAGCCCGAGCCUGGCCUGAAUGUCAAGCCCGACCUGGCCCGGCCCGGGUCGUCGGGCCGGGCUGCCCAUGCCCGGGUUUAGCCCGGACUGUCCAGUCGGUUGAGUUUUGAGACCGUUGGGCGCCCAUUUGAAGUCCGAACAUGCCCGGACGUACGAGGAAGAAAUGAGCUUCGACCAUAGAGGUGACCUUAAUCAUUUAUUUGAUUCAUUUAUAUACAUUAUAGCCCGUAGCAACGCACGGGCAUUCUACUAGUAUAUAUUAUAUGUGAGCUUAUUUAUCCCCUCAAAAAAAUAUGACCUUAUUUUUAUUUUAAUAUUGUUUAUACAUGUCCACUUUUGAGAUCAGAGAUGAAAACUAAUGGCUUCCAAUGAUGCUUUGAAAAUGCCGAUUGACAAAGCUUUAUGAAGGACCGGACUGAAAAAUUGUCUUGUUUUAACAAUCAGAAGAGAUGCAUACACAUAAUUAUUCUUUAUAUAUUUCUUGUGCAUGAUAAUACAAAAGGUGUGUUUCUAUAUAUAUUUGUUUUUGCAGAGUAUCAGAGAGAUGAAGAUGGAUUACGAUAUUCAAAAAGAAUUCAUCGACAAGGGUGUUCAGGCUAUGUUGUUGAAAUGGGCCAAAAAUUCACUAAGUUUUAUACAACAGAAGGCCCGUGGCAACGCACGGUCAUGUCACACACUGAUGAAUUAUUGGCAUGGGAUAAUCUCUAGCUAGCGACCACCUAGACUGUUUGCUCCAUAAAGCACGUCUGCACAUAUAUUUUGUAUUGUAAGCAAUUCCUUUAUUCGCAUUCAAAAUCUAAAUAGUAUGGAAAUCAGGAAAAUUAUAUAGCUAUUUGGGUGUAUCUCUACUCCUAAUGUCAGGGUUAUUCUAUUAACUACUGGGUUGUUGAUCUACAUUACGGUUUAAUUCUUACACGAAUUAAUGUUGACUCGAUUCCCCGUAGUAGGUUGAGAGGCUUCUCCUCUCAUGAUUUACUCUGAUUAGUUUGCUUGGCUCCAUGCUCCUCAUGAUUUCUUUGAAUUUUUCCGUAGGAGCUCGAUCAAAAAUAACCUAAGAAAAAUAUGUCGUUCUUCUCUACAAUGGUUGCGUGUGGAAUUUGAGGAGAAUCUGUGCACCAGCAUCCGACUCCUUGAUGUUGCUCUGAUCAUAUUGUGUAAAUAUAUUUCUAAUAAAGCAAUCGUCCGAUGGUGUACAUGUUAGAAAUAACAAGAUGUAAUCAUCAAGUGUGAGAGAUGGCAACAUCAUGAUGGAAUGGAAGGAAUAAUAGUAGGACAUGCAUGUGUUAUUUUCCAAGACUUGUUCGAGAUAAAGACCCAAUGAGUCGUCGGAAACUUCCCCUGUCUCUGCAGCAGCAUAUGAUUGUUCAGAGUGAGAGUUUGUCUGAAAAUUGUUCAAAAUGAGGCUCUAGCAUGCUGCACACGGUGUACCAAAGCCGAGGAAGUGACGUGUGUCUCAUGUUUUUACUGGAAAACCUUCCAUGAAACAACUUAUUCCAUUCCCUCGGAGCAAGAGCAAAUUUAACAAGGCAAUACAACAAAACGUGGAGCAGCUAAUGGACAUCCAAUCAGCUCUCAAGGCAUUCGAGGAGCUUCUGUUACAGCGAGGAACAAUGGAUAUAUCGAAUAAAAAAUGUAACCAGCUUUCCCCGGGUGAAGAAUCCUCCACUAAUAAGGAGCCUCAGGUACAUCCUACUCAGGUUAGUUUUGUCGCUAAAAGACAUGGUGCAUUCGAUAGUUCUCCAUUUAUCCAUGGAGAUAGGAUAGCAUGCUUUAUUUUGUUUACAAAUAAACUGUUGCAGAAUCAAUUUAAUUCUGUUAGUGGGCAAUCCCUCUAUAUUUGAUACAUACAUCGUGGCAUGCCUUUUUAGCAUCAUCUUCUAUCAUGUUAUAUUAUUGCCUACUGCCUAACAAUUUUUUGCCGAAGGGGGCAGAUGACAUAGGAGAGAUCUACAACCAGUUUUCCUUAGGUUCUUCUGUUGACAACAAGCCUGCACAACAACAUGCUCGCGCACACCGCAACCAUAGAGAUAUACCGCGACACAUACCAGGAGAGUUGUGCUUCAUGUAGCUAUUACAGCAGGAUAAUUGUAUGCUUGUGUUGAAGAAGAGACUUGGCAAGAAAGGCGGCAGCUGACGAAAGGAGGACACCACCAAGAUGAGCGAGACCGUGCCAACGGACUCAGGAUGAAAAGCAACGACCAACGGCGCAUCAUCCACAGAAGCGGCCAGCAUGGGGCUAAGCCUGCCAUUCCUCCGCGUCAAUGAACAACAGGACCUAAGAUAGCUGAGGUGCGCUCCUGCAAGAGAUGAGGGAGCAGCUGGUGGUCCGGAUGGCGAAGAUCAGGUCAACGUCGGCUGCUUUCCUGUGCCAUUGCCACAUUUCAGCUGAACAUGCUCGGACGGGCAUGGCGCCGGCGCCAUUUCUUCAUCUUCUCUGGAGCCACACCAUUUCUGCAGGAUAAGCGAGUUGGAGGAAGAUGGGAGAUGCGUCGCUUACUCACUGACAGAAAAUCAUUUGGGCAGAACCUCCUUUUCACGAGAGAUGAUUGAUUGUUUUUCCACCUUCGCUUUUGUGCCCCAUGUGUUGCUUGUGAACCACUGUUGUUUAUGUCGUCGGUCAUGUAAACUAUAAGGACAUAUUAAUAUAAUAUGACUCCUAAGCCACUUCCUUUUAA